rnacentral:sRNA from 1 species
AAUGGAAUCCAUCGUGCCCAAACGCCAAGUGCUUGACGACGACGAUGGUCUAUAUGAAAGCUCGAAAGGUCGAUCUCCCGAGAAGGCUUUGGAAGAGAUACGUAAGCAAGACACUCAUGAUCUCUAUUGCCCUAAGUGUACUAGUAACAUCACUAAAACAGCUCUAAUCGUUGAAAAGGGAGAUGAUUUUUCUCCCGACGACCAGAAACCUUUCGUGCUCUGGAUCCCUACCUUCAAGUUCCUUUCAAGUUCUCCCAAAGGAUCUGUCGAAAGUAAACCAUUGAAUCCUAAUCUCAGUGGACCAGACGAAGAAAACUCAUCUCAACCUGAAUCCAGUGAACCAGUCGACAAAAACUCAUCGUUUAAUCGUAGUCUCAGCAGUUUAGCUAAAACCUUGGAACGAUUGCCUACUCUUUUACGGAAUUCAAUAAUUAUUCGUAGAGACGAAAAUAGUGCUACUCCUCUACACCAAGAUGGUGCAGGUCAUCAAAGUUCUACGAGCACAUCAGUGUCUGAGCAACGUGGACGUUGGAAAAUUAGUCCCGGUGGAUGGAUAAUUCAUCGUUAAACGCCCAGCAAAUAGACAACGAAUUGACUAUCCUCUCUUCUUACCCCCUAAAAUGAACGAGUUUUUUGUUUGAUUGAAACCCAUAGUAAGUGAUUGAUGAUAGUGUAAUGAUCAUUUUGUACUGAGUUUAAAGCAUAGAAAUCAUUGCACUAUUACUGGA